CGAACGCUGGCGGCGUGCUUAACACAUGCAAGUCGAACGCUGAAGCUUGGUGCUUGCACUGGGUGGAUGAGUGGCGAACGGGUGAGUAAUACGUGAGUAACCUGCCCUUGACUCUGGGAUAAGCCUGGGAAACUGGGUCUAAUACUGGAUAUGACAUGCCACUGCAUGGUGGUGUGUGGAAAGGGUUUUACUGGUUUUGGAUGGGCUCACGGCCUAUCAGCUUGUUGGUGGGGUAAUGGCCUACCAAGGCGACGACGGGUAGCCGGCCUGAGAGGGUGACCGGCCACACUGGGACUGAGACACGGCCCAGACUCCUACGGGAGGCAGCAGUGGGGAAUAUUGCACAAUGGGCGGAAGCCUGAUGCAGCGACGCCGCGUGAGGGAUGACGGCCUUCGGGUUGUAAACCUCUUUCAGCACGGAAGAAGCGAGAGUGACGGUACGUGCAGAAGAAGCGCCGGCUAACUACGUG
rnacentral:rRNA from 1 species